rnacentral:rRNA from 1 species
UACGUAGGGUGCAAGCGUUGUCCGGAAUUACUGGGCGUAAAGCGCACGUAGGCGGCUUUGUAAGUUAGAGGUGAAAGCCCGGGGCUCAACCCCGGAACAGCCUUUAAGACUGCAUCGCUUGAACGUCGGAGAGGUGAGUGGAAUUCCGAGUGUAGAGGUGAAAUUCGUAGAUAUUCGGAAGAACACCGGUGGCGAAGGCGGCGAUCUGGCCCAACACUGACACUGAGACCCAAAAGCGUGGGGAUCAAACAGG